ACUGGAGUUUGAUCCUGGCUCAGGAUGAACGCUAGCGGCAGGCUUAACACAUGCAAGUCGAGGGGUAUAGUUCUUCGGAGCUAGAGACCGGCGCACGGGUGCGUAACGCGUAUGCAAUCUACCUUUUACAGAGGGAUAGCCCAGAGAAAUUUGGAUUAAUACCUCAUAGUAUGUGAGAAUCGCAUGGUUUUCACAUUAAAGUCACAACGGUAAAAGAUGAGCAUGCGUCCCAUUAGCUUGUUGGUAAGGUAACGGCUUACCAAGGCAACGAUGGGUAGGGGUCCUGAGAGGGAGAUCCCCCACACUGGUACUGAGACACGGACCAGACUCCUACGGGGAGGCAGCAGUGAGGAAUAUUGGACAAUGGGGCGCAAGCCUGAUCCCAGCCCAUGCCGCGUGCAGGAUGACGGUCCUAUGGAUUGUAAACUGCUUUUAGCACAGGG
rnacentral:rRNA from 1 species